GGCGGAUGUASCCAAGUGGAUCAAGGCAGUGGAUUGUGAAUCCACCAWGCGCGA
rnacentral:tRNA from 1 species